UCCCUGGUGGCUCAGCUGAUAAAGAAUCUGCCUACAAUGCAGGAGACCCAGGUUCAAUCCCUGGUUCGGGAA
rnacentral:tRNA from 1 species